rnacentral:rRNA from 1 species
UGGGGAAUAUUGGGCAAUGGGCGCAAGCCUGACCCAGCAACGCCGCGUGAAGGAAGAAGGCUUUCGGGUUGUAAACUUCUUUUGUCGGGGACGAGUAGAAGACGGUACCUGGCGAAUAAGCCACGGCUAACUACGUGCCAGCAGCCGCGGCAAUACGUGGGUGGCAAGCGUUGUCCGGAUUUACUGGGUGUAAAGGGCGUGUAGCCGGGAAGGCAAGUCAGAUGUGAAAUCCACGGGCUUAACUCGUGAACUGCAUUUGAAACUGUUUUUCUGAGUAUCGGAGAGGCAAUCGGAAUUCCUAGU